AAAUCCGUCGACUUUUGAAAUCAUGAGGGUUCAAG
rnacentral:tRNA from 10 species